rnacentral:rRNA from 1 species
UACGGAGGAUGCGAGCGUUAUCCGGAUUUAUUGGGUUUAAAGGGUGCGUAGGCGGGACCUUAAGUCAGCGGUAAAAUUGCGGUGCUCAACGCCGUAGAGCCGUUGAAACUGGCAGUCUUGAGUGGGCGAGAAGUAUGCGGAAUGCGUGGUGUAGCGGUGAAAUGCAUAGAUAUCACGCAGAACUCCGAUUGCGAAGGCAGCCUGCCAAGCCAUGACUGACGCUGAUGCACGAAAGCGUGGGGAUCGAACAGG